UACGGAGGGUGCAAGCGUUGCUCGGAAUUAUUGGGCGUAAAGGGUAGGUAGGUGGUCUCGUUUGUCUGGGGUGAAAGCCCUAAGCUCAACUUAGGAAUGUCCUCAGAAACGGCGAGACUGGAGUACUGGAGAGGGUCGCGGAAUUCCCGGUGUAGCGGUGAAAUGCGUAGAGAUCGGGAGGAACACCAGAGGCGAAAGCGGCGGCCUGGACAGUAACUGACACUCAACUACGAAAGCGUGGGGAUCAAACAGG
rnacentral:misc_RNA from 1 species